rnacentral:rRNA from 1 species
UACGGAGGUUGCAAGCGUUGUUCGGAUUUACUGGGCGUAAAGGGAGCGCAGGCGGUUAGGUCAGUCUGAAGUGGAAGCCCGGGGCUCAACCCUGGAAGGCCUUUGGAUACUGCCUAACUUGAGUUCGUGAGAGGAAAGCGGAAUUCCAGGUGUAGCGGUGAAAUGCGUAGAUAUCUGGAGGAACAUCGAUGGCGAAAGUAGCUUUCGGGCACGAUAAUGACGAUGAGGCUCGAAAGCGUGGGGAGCGAACAGG